GUUCCGUACCAUCUUCUACUCUCUUAGACUUGCAAAAUCCCUUUAUGAGAGUAUUAUAUGUAACUACAUCUGGGAAACAGUCCUUGCUAACCAUGAACUCAAACAUCUGCUUGGCCUUGUCUAGACGAUCAUGCAUACAGAACCCGUUGACCAAUGAAUUGUAAGUGAAAAUAUCAGGAUCUAUAGACCUUUUGAUCAUGUCAUCGUACAAUUUCUCAGCCUCUACAAACUUUCCUUCUUUCACAAACGCAUCGAUCAAUGCAUUGAACGUGACUAAAUUAGGGUUGAUUUUCUUCUCAAUCAUAUCACUCAGUAGUUGAGAGGCAU